AAUUUGUAAUGUUUGGAGAAGACAAGAUGGCGCCGGUUUACUUCGUGUCGUCAAAGGGCAUUUUUGUUCACAAAUACACGCUUUUUUUACGUUAUAACGACUGGUUAGUUUUGGAAAUUAUAACUCAACGGACAAGGAUUCUGUAGCAAAGAGAAAAAUACGUGCAGUUGUUGACCUAUUGUGAUGUUUAAUAUUUAUUGUGAAAGACGGCCCGAAUUCCGAAAUUUCGCUACAUCGCGGUACUGGUUUAUCAAAAAUUCUACUGGCAAUUCGACCAUGGAUAAAGAAACAACGCUUGAAUGAAAGAACAGCCUGUCUUAAUGGUAAGUUUUUAAAGGGUUCGAAUCAAUAUAAAUGCACCUAUCAAUGUUAACACAGAAUAGAAAAUAGACCAGAAGCCUCACUUAGCCAAAAUUAUGUCCGAGAUUUUUUAUGCGCGGGCGCGAGCCAGCAAGUGUAAUCACGACGCCAUCAAACGCCAUCACUAGGUAAUAAAGAUUGCUGUUUUAACCGUUUUGCUGACGAACGCUGAUGUGAUGUUCGCAGCAAGUGUCACACAUGUCAUCUAGCAUGCGAAAUUCGUGAUCCGCAUGGCGAAAAUCGCGGACACGAAAAUGUUAGGAAAAGAUAUACAGUGAGGCUUCUGGUCCAUUUUCUUUUCUGUGAUGUUAACCCCGAGGGAGAAGGGGGUCGGGCAAGGGGUGGGGAUGGCUUAUCGCAUUUUAAACCACCACCCCCCCCCCCUAUGGAGGAUACUGGAAUUUCCAGACCCCCCUUCCUAAAAUUCAACAAAAAAAGAAGGAAUUUCCAAGGGAGGGUCUAAUUUUUAAAGAAAAUCUGUGGAAAUUCCACGGGGUAGGUUAAAAAAACAACAUGGAAAUUCCAAGGGAUGGUUACCUAUUAAACAAAAAAUGUGGAAAUUCCAGAGACUAGGUCAAAACCAUCGGUGGAAUUUCCAAGGGAUGAGCAGAAAUUGAUUAAAAAUCUGUGGAAAUUCCAUGGGGUAGGCUGGAAAUUUGUAAAAAAUCGCAGAAUUCCAGGGGGGUAGGACGGAAAUUCAUCCACAUCUACGGAAUUCCAGGGGAGGGGGUCCAAAAAAUGGAUGUUCUCCAUAGGGGGGGGGGGGAUGGAUUAAAAAUGCAAUAAGCCAAUCAUGUCAGCCAUAUUAUGUCAUGUGAAGUGAGUUUAUAAUAUCUGAUAAAACACUAGCCUGUGUUCCAGUCCGCUACACCACGGUUACAAUAGACUGGAACACAGGCUAAUAAAACAUAGUAUUCUUAUAUAAUUAUAUUGUCAGCAGUGGCGUAGCUAGCGAAAUUUGACUAGUCCUGCUCUAAGACCCACACAUUCUAGGGGGGUCCGGGGGCAUACUCCUCCGGGAAAUUUUGAAUUUUAGAAGUCUGGAAUGGCCAUUUCCUGCGAUUUCACGGCGAAAUACUCCAAAGGGAACAUCAAAAAAUUGCGUGAUUAGCGGAAAAUUUUUGAUAAUUUUUUUAGAAAAAAAAUAUUGUAACUUUUUGAAAUCCAUGCAUUUUUUUAUCAUAUUUCACUAUAUAUUUUUCAACUUAGCUGAAAAUGUAACUAAAUAUAGUCACGAAAGAGGAAAAUAUCAUGUUUACAAUACGCGUCUGUAAUACGAUCUUUCACUUGAUCAACACAUAAUCCAACCUCAUGCACAUAGUCAACAAUUGCGUAACUAUUAUACAGUUGAACACGGCGUUUUAUACACUAUAACGCUACCGCUAUAGCAUUCGUUAAAAAUUCACUACGUUUGUUAGUAAUGUGUUAAGCUUUAUAUAAUGGAGUGGUAUCAACUACAGAUCACUAUGCCUGGCAAUCAGCACUCUGAAUGUAAUUCAGUACGCUAUGCCUAUGGUAUUAAUAUAGCGUUUAAUAAUAUAGUGUAUGCGGCCAAAUAUCUACAUUUAAAACAGUGUGAAUUGGUACAGUAUAUCAUUUUUAAAAUUAAACUCCAUAUAAGUGCUCGUUUCAAAUGCACAAAGCAGAUGAACUGGCAGUAAAUAUUACGUUCUUACUUUAUAUCAAUACGACAAUCUUCACAAAUGAAGUUUGUAUUCCCCAUUUAAUAUAUUGUAUUAUAAAAAUACACAAUCAUCAGUCGAGUCUGUUCACAUGCAUUUCGUGAGCUAAAAUAUCUUAGCAGAAGCCAGAAAUUAUAUUAAAAUCACAUUGGGCUUCCACACUCGUUGAUUUCCAUAUUCAUAACUUGAGUAAUCUCGACAGAAUUAGUAAAAAGUGUGUUUAGUCACGCGGAAAGCUCGCAUGUAAAGACAAUACAAGGCCAAGUCCUGCCAAUUUUCGAGAGAGCAGGACUUCGCAUUUGUAAACAGUUGGUUUGAGCAUGCGCAGACCUAAUUAUCCAAUCAGAAACCAAGAUUUCUUGUAUGAGUUUACUAUGAAAUAUACUAGCAAGUCCUGCCAUUUGAAAAUGGCAGGACUGAAACACGAGCGCGUGUAAAUCAAUGUAGAAUUGCAGUUGCUAGGUAACAGACACGGCAAGCUGUAAAAUUGGGUAAAUAUAACACAAUGCGAAAAACUUUUUAGAAAAUAAUAACGAAAAAGACGAGAAAAUGACACAAAAUAACAAAAUGAUAAUGAUAAAUUUUUAAAGCUUCAAGAGAAAUAAAGCAAUGUUUUAGUAAGGAAAUUUGGGGAAAUUUUUAGUCCUGCUGGGCAGGACAAGCAGGACCGCUAGCUACGCCACUGAUUGUCAGUAUUCUUAUAUAAUUGUUCGCCCUAAUUAGUAUUCUUUUGUAGUCGUAUUUUAAGUUGUGCGUCUCGCGUUUGAUAUCUGAUAAAACACACUCCUACUCAUGUUUUAAAUAGUACAUAAUGUGAACUUUUAACAUAUAAGUAUAAAUCGAUAUUAAUAAAAUUAUAAAAUGGCUUAUAAGUAUUUAUUUCUUGUCCAGAAAUCUCCAUAUGAGUAAUUCCAUGCCAUUUCAACACAGGCAUGACACCCACCCUCUCCAAAUUUCUUUAUAUUUCGCAGGCAGUUAACAUUGUGUGGGAAUAGUUUAAGUUCAAAAUUUUAGCAUCGUAUCUGCAAUAGUUUUUGAGAUAUCGCAAUUUGAAAUAUGGCCCGAAAAGCAAAAAAGUGGGCGUGGCCAGUGCUAAAUUCACCAUUACCCUAUUUUACAUUUUGACCUGUAACUUCAUACCCGUACAUGGUAUAUCCAUCACAAUUUGCACAAAGAUGUAUUUGUAUGCGGAUAUUUCAAAUAUUGCACUUUCAUCUUUGUAUCUGCAACCAAUAAUGUGUUAUGGCACAGCUUAUGUGUUUCUGAAGACACGAAAUAUACAUCAUCUUUAUUGGAAAAAUUUUUUAUGGAAGCCAUACAGACACAACAGCAAUUUUUAUUCCACAUCAUAUCCAGAUGCUAUUCUACUUUGAAGCAAAAUUUGGUGAUGGUUAGUUGCCUGCUUUAAAAAGUAGAGCCCUUUAAAGUUGUCGUAUUUUCUAAAUAACUUUAAUAGUACGUUUUGGGUGUUUGUUAAGAAUAAAAUACAUUCAUUGAGAAAUGAGACUGCCAAAUAGCUUAAUGUUUGAUUCUAUUAUUCUUUUUUAAUAGUACAUUAUGUUCUCCAAGAGUAACUGUUAUUUCUUGUAUCAAAUUGCCUUUGAUCAAAAUCGAUGCAGUAUAUAUAGAGAUCACUACUGUUUAUCCAUGAAUGUGCGUAAGACUUCUUGGUCUUUAAGCUGCAGUUUUUACUGCCUCCCAGUGACUAUUGUUCGGAACACCAAUGUUAGAAAUAAUGUUCUCAUCCGAAACCCAACAAGUAUUAGUGAUUGACUAAUUAUUAUCAAUUAUUCAUCCAAUAAUAUACCCGAUUCUGAUUUUCUAUGACGUCGUAACCAUUUCGAGAUUUGAAUGAUAAUUUCCAACGUAAUAUGUUACUAGUAGCAACCAAAGUUCGUUAAACCUGUACAUAAAUGACACGCUUCAUGUAUCAUUUCGUCGCGGCAAUGGUUUACUCCACACCUACUAUGCAACACGCUACCGUUCGCGCAAGAGAUUAAACAGUUGUUGUUUUCACAUAAAAAGUGCAUUCAACCUGUAUCACCGUGCAAUAUAUAUGAUUUUUAAAGUGCGUUUUUUCUCAACAAUCGGUUUUACAGACUCGGAAAAUACAAAUUAUUCUACCGAUAAGCAAAAAUCGGUCCGACUCCGAUUAUAAUUUUUUAUUUAUUUGUUUAUUAAAAACAUCUUGUAACACGGUAGCUAAUCGACUAAAAAAAUAUUAGCAAGUUGUCGUUACUUUUCACUAAGCCGUGUACUUACAGACAGUAUAAGAGAUUCCCAUGCACCCACCCUCCCCGAACCACCCAAAUAAUAUUAGAAGGACAUUCAAAGUUUAUUAUUCACUCCAAUCCCACCCAGAUAAAAUUAUAUAAAAAUUUUAUUUCUUUCAUUCCAAACUUUAGCGGCAGCAUAACCGAAAGUUCGUUUCAUUGAAUUUGUUUUUGGCUUCAACAACAUCAACUUAUUUUUGUUAUUUUUUAAUUCAUAUCGAUCUGAAUUAUAUAGUUUAAACAUGUCCGAAAUGUUUUCGUGAAAUUGGCAUGUAAGUGCUUUUGAUACAUAUUUUAGUCGUUGCUCCGUCAUUCUUUCACCUAACGUUUUCCAAUCUAGUUUCUUUAAAAUAUCUAUGGAGCGUAUUUCAUGAGUCAACUGUAAUAACUUUUGCAGCUCAGUUUUGGAGUUUCUGAAGAUUGCCUCUUAAAGAUUCGCCACAGUUUAAUACCCCAAAUCAUCGAGCAGUAAUCAAAGUGUGGUUGGAAUAAAGCUCGAUAAAGAUGUUUAAGAGUUUUCGUUGAAACGUAUGGCUGACACGAGUACGCGACGCAAUUAUCGGUCAAUCGCUAACAAGUAUCCUCUUACUGGCCAGAAAUAUGAUCUUGCGAUGCACUUUGGGUUCAUAAACCUUAUUAAUUUUUGCAUUUCUUUGAUCAUUGUCAACUUCUUCAAUCAAAUCAAGCCAUUUUUCAUCAUCUUACAAGCAUACAAUAAAAGAGUUCACUGAAAGUACAACUGGUUCACGAGCAGGGGUAGAUAAGAAAUAAAUUGUAUGGCAUGCUUUUCAUCCAUUGAUAUUCUUUUUGUGUAUGUACUAUUAAUAAAUAUGUAAUUUUUAAACUUUUAAAACAAAUUUUAAAUAUGCACUAUCAAUAAAGAAGGAUCGAAUGAAACAUUAAUAAAAGUAUUUGGCAGUCUCAUUUCUCAAUGAAUGUAUUUUAUUCUUAACAAACACCCAAAAUGUACUAUUAAAGUUAUUUAGAAAAUAUGACAACUUUAAAGGGCUCUACUUUUUAAAGCAGGCAACUAACCAUCACCAAAUUUUGCUUAAAAGUAGAAUAGCAUGUGGAUAUGAUGUGGAAUAAAAAUUACUGUUGUGUCUGUAUGGCUUCCAUAAAAAUUUUUCCAAUAAAGAUGAUGUAUAUUUUGUGUCUUCAGAAAAACAUAAUUAGACUUUUUGCUGUGCCAUAACACAUUACUGGUUGCAGAUACGAAGAUGGAAGUGUAAUAUUUGAAAUAUCCGCAUACAAAUACAUCUUUGUGCAAAUUGUGAUGGAUAUACCAUUUACGGAUAUGAAGUUACAGGUCAAAUGUAAAAUAGGGUAACGGUGAAUUUAGCACUGGCCACGCCCACUUUUUUGCUUUUCGGGCCAUAUUUCGAAUUGCGAUAUCUCAAAAACUAUUGCAGCUACGAUGCUCAAAUUUUGAACUUAAACUAUUCCCACACAGUGUUAAUUAACUGCCUGCGAAAUAUAAAGAAAUUUGGAGAGGGUGGGUGUCAAAUCCGUUUUUUUUUUGUGUUGAAAUGGCAUGGAAUUACUCAUAUUUCUUGUAAAAACAACGCGUGAGACAGCAAGCGAUAAACUAGUGCCCAGUCUUCAGUUUGUUCCUGACUCUUCCACAGUCCCUCGUUACAUUUUAGUGCGGGAGAAUAUGCCCGUUCGCGGGUUAGACGUUGACAGCUACAACGCGGGCGACUGGGGACGAGUCAGAGUUUGUUCUAAAAUUGGCUCAGGUUUCUUCAGUAUAUCGUCUGAGAUCAGUGUUAAUCUGUCAAAAAUCCCCACCCUCGGGCCACUUAGAAAAAAAGUGUCAGUCCAAAUCCCGACCCAUGGGACCACCUGCUUGAUCAAAUCCCCACGCUUUGCCGGCCCCUCGGGGUUAACGUUGAUAGGUGCAUAAUAUUUUUUAGUUUAAAGACCAUGUCAAGUUCUGCGCAUCAGUUCUGCUCAUAACAAAGGGGGUCCCACAUUGCCCAAAUCUUUCCAACUUUUUUGAAUUGAAACGUACUCUAGUUUAUAUUCAUUUACAAUAGCGAACCAGAAAUAAAGUGUUUGGUAUUUAGUUAGUAUGUCUUAUUAUUAGCAGUUCAAAAUGUAUUAAACAAAGGAUUUGUUUACAUUACGGACUUGACUUGGUCUUUUAGCUCUAGUCUCGAAGCUAUACUUCGGUAGCAGUGUUCGGUAGAGUCAGACUACUAGACAAAUAAUUUGGCUGUAAACGUUGUUUGAUACAUCUCGUUGUUACUCACAACUUCUCGUAAUUCACAUGCCUAUAAGUAAUUUGCCAAACGAUGCUUGAAAUUUAUAGUAGAACCCCAACACUUACUCACUAAUUUGGGACAAUAGGUUUCUUAAUAGGCUUUGUUUAUAAUAGCAUUGUAUCAAUUAUUUUUAUAUAUUGUUGUAUACAUAUAAGGAAGGUAAUUCGCUAUAUUUAUUUAGCUUCUGAUUAAUUGAUUACUAAAGUUAUAGGAACUAGUUCUAUAUUUAUGUUAGAAUUUUCCUUUGGAAGUUGUUAUACAGUAUAUAUACUGUAGGGUCAAUCUCUUAACUGUCAAUUAGGUCUAUGCAGCAGCCUAAGAUUAAAUUUAUGUUAUGUUAUUUUAUUUUUAACUCGGUCUAUUGCCAGACGAUUUUACUUGUCAAGGGGAGAGCGCACUUGUGUGUUAUUACAUCAGUGAUUAUGACUUACUUUCUAGAAGGGUGUAUUUAUUGAGUUAUGAAAUAUACAAGCCACUUCUGAUUAGGGCAAGUUAGAUCAGCUCAAAUCAACACUUUAUGACUAAUUAAGUCAUCAAAUCACUUGGUUAUAAAAUGACCUUACUUUAUUAUUUUACUCUGUCUAACACCAUGAUUUUACUCUGUCUAACACCAGAUGAUUUUACUCUGUCUAACACCAGAUGAUUUUACUCUGUCUAACACCAGAUGAUUUUACUCAUCAAGGGGAGAGUGCUUGACCUGAUGGCAAGUGCAUUAUAUUCCGGGCAACCAAUUUUCAUGUCAAACUCAUUAAGUGGCAUUUAGCUAUUACAAUGUUUCCACCCCUAAGUUGAUUGCAAAUGGUAGUAAUAAAGUUAGGCACAGCAGUGAUGUAGGAGGUCUAGUCCCUUGGAUUUGGUAAAAUGCCAGGAAGGACCUGUACUCUACCGUAAGCAAUUUUACUCUCUGCUGGUUUGAAAAAUGUAUGUUUAUUAUGCAAAAAUGUAUUUGCAUGGACUCCCAUGUAACUAUGCAUAAUAUAGUUUCAUAAAAUUCUAGGAAGAAGUGGGUUAUUCUUCCCUGGGUAAUUCUUUCCUGGGUUAUUCUUCCCUGGGUAAUUCUUCCCUGAGUUAUUCUUCCCAGCAUUCUCCCCCUGACGAGUAAAACUGUCCGCCGUUAGACAGAGUAGAGGGCCCCCUAUACCUCUUCACAAUAUGCUUUCACGUAAAAAUAUUUUGCCUUUUCACGAGUCACGGAUUAAGAAAAUCAUCGAUCACGUUUCACGGCUAAGUAAAAUAAGCGCUUCACGCAAAACGUAUAGGGAGUGCGUGAGUUUCACGGCGAAGUAAAAUAAGCCCUUCACACUUCACGCAAAAAGUAUAGGGGGCCCUCAGAGUAGAGGGCGAGCUGUGUGCCAGAGCUCCAGCAUAUUUUGCCUGAGCCAGAGUUGGAAAACUCCGGCAGACAAAAUUAUGAAAAAUUAUUUCAUAUUUCAAUGAACUUUUGGUAAUGGAAAAAUUAAGUUGAACGAUUUGAACUUUACUUAUUUACUAUACAGUUUAAUUACUUGCUCCGAUUCGAAAAUUCUGCAAGCGCAUUGCUAUCGCUUUUGAUACAAAAUUCCGCUGACCCCAAUGAAUUUUGGGCAAAAAUUUAUACCACAAUGCCAUGCGAUUUUACUUUCUACAAAACGUUCAUUUGUUUAAUUAAACGAGCACCGAUCGAAGCACAUAGAUUUGAUCAGUAAAGGAGAAAGCUCAAAAAGGAAUAAAAUAAAUUCUGAAAUUACACUGAAAUACUUUCACCUGCUUCUACUUUUAAAUAUGAAAUUUCCUUAAAAUUUCUUUGCCGGAAUUUUGACUGCCGGAGCUAAAAUAACCUGAGUUUGUACAGCUCUGACAGAGUAAAAUAGUAGAGUAGAGCACAUUAAUUAUCAUUUAAUAUUAUAUUAUAUUUGAAACAUAACAUGACAUCAAAUUUAGAUAUCAGAUUCAGCAACUUGCCGAUGAAAUUUUUAUAAAAUAUUGCCAUAAAAUAUAUAACAUUCUAAGGCUAUAUAUAUAUUGAUACUAUUGAUACUAUAGUGCUGUUCCAACGUACAAUAAUGUGAAAAAAAGAAAAGAAAAAAAGAGAUGAAAAAGUUUUUUCAUCAAGUGAGACAAAUUUCCGGAGAAACUUUCCAAAAUUGUUGUCGCUCCAAUAUUGUUUAGGUCCAUUUUUUUAAGUAUUUUAUAAAGCGUAUGCUAUGUAUGUGCUAAGAAGGUAGUUUUGUUGGCAUGUGGAAAGCAAAAGUAGCGAAGGUAAAGAGAUUAAAAUUGGAUUUAGUGCGUAUUUUUGAAAAAAUUUUACCACCAAAUAUGGUAGUCCUCCCCCCCCCCGUCGAUGACACUUGUGACGUCAGGUACAUACGGGACUUUGGGGGCGGGUUUUGGCGGGAAAAUCUGUAAUGUUUGGAGAAGACAAGAUGGCGCUGGUUACCUCGUCUCAUAUCAAAGGGCAUUUUUGUUCACAAAUACCCGCUUAUUUUACGUUAUAGCGACUGGUUCGUUUUGGAAAUUAUAACUCAAUGGACGGGGAAAAUGAUUCUGUAUUAAAGAGAAAAUGAUGUGCAGUUGUUGUGAUGUUAUUUGUUGUGAAAGACGGCCCGAAAUUCCGCUACUUCGCAGUACUGGUUUAUAAAACAUUUACAAGCAACAGCAAUUGAACUAUAUGACAAAGAAACCAAUGUAUACAAGCCAAUCAAGUUCUUCAGUUUAAAGGUCUGUUUACUUUUUAAUAAUUAGUUCAUUUAGUUGUACAUUAAUACGAAGUACUGGAACAGUACGCCUAGUCACAGAAUAGGAAGGUAUACCCAUGAUCUUGAUACGCGGAAAAGUACUGGCACUAGUUGUCAAAUAGAAAUCCAUUUUAUGAUUAAAACAACUGAAUAUCUCCUGUAAUAUACUUUAUUUCGAUUCCAUAUUUUUGUCAGAGCUAUAGUUCUCAUAGCCAAACAUAAUUACAAAAUUUCAACUAGUUUCAUAAAGAAUAACGAAAGAUAUAAUUGACGGAAUACAUCAAAAUGGAUUUCUAUUCGGACAGCCCUUUCUGAGCGCUGAUUGGCUAAAAUACGAGCACGAGAUCACCUGGCCAUUGAACUAAAAAUAACUGGAACGAUACCUCCAGCCGGAAAUGUGAAGCCAUGCCCAGGCAUGCCCACUGUUGUCAUGCCCAGUCUUUUCACGUAACAGAAAUGAACGCGGGUUUUUUUAAUUUCCAAAACUGGGUAAAAAAAUGCACUAAAACAUGAUUUAAAACGACGUAAAAUGCACCUACCAGUACAUUUUUUACAAUAAAAACAUCCUUCAAAACUCUAGAGUAAAAUAUUUUUAAUUUACAGUACCGAUCACGGGAAAGUUAACAGUCCCUUGCGGGACGGGAUUCCUGUCCCGUGGGAACGUCGUUUGGGACAGAAAUCCCAUCCCGCGUUGUUGCGUGGACGGGAAAGCCGAAAUAAGCCUGCUAAAGACAUUUACAGUAGAAGAUUUGUUUCGACAGUAUGCUGCACAUCUUUAUUAAUGAAAUUUGUUCAAAGCUGAAACCGUUUUUAUAUCAUUUUUUUUCGAGAUUUUUUGAGAUUUGAAAUGGAUUUUCCGUUAUUUGGAUGUUUAGAGACUUUUUUGCCUUUUGGGACUUACGAGUUUUCACAAAAUCUACGAGCUAUAUCGUUAAAGAGAUUUCACAGCGCAAUUAAUUUCAGAAGACAAUAACCGAUCAAGACAAAAGGCCCACUGUCUUUGGUCUCAAUAGACAGUGCCGAAAACCGAUUGAUGUUCUGUUUUUGACAAACAACGUGAGUCAUCGACUCCAAAAUAAUUCCGAACGCGCUAAUAAAAGCCGAUACAAGGUCGCAAGCUUUUCAUUCGUCCGGUUUGUUCUGUACUGCAAAAACUUCACUGCUCUGUCUAAUUGGAGUGUUCACAUUGAAAGAAAAAAGUCUCGAAAUGCUUCGUGAACUGACUAAAGAGUCUAAAGUGUCAAAGUAUGCGGUUGCAUAGCGUUUCACGAAUAGCGACAAAAGAUGUUGUUAUGGUCGGAGGUGGUGGAGAAAUUAAACGAAAAUGUAAAGAUUUUGUUAUGUUGAAGCGUGAAAGAUAUUCUAGCCUACAUUUUAUAUCUUUCUGCAGGUAAGUAUACAUACAUAUUCAGAAACCACUUUGGAUUAAUAUAGCUACUGGAGACCUUGGUUAUUGUCAAUUUCAAGUCACUUUUCAACGUGCGGUUCCCAACUUCGUUGUGAACUUGCCAAUUACAUUUCCAAGUUCGGAAAUUAGGCGCGAAAUGUCAUAUUUCUUAACGUUUUAUUUUAAAUUCGGAUUUUAAUAUUCGCGGGACGGGAUUCCUGUCCCGUGAUCGGUACUGUAUUUGUGUAGAAUUCAUAAUUAAAUUUCCUUUUUUGAAAAAAAAACGUUGAGCGAGGAGUGGAGCUUGCCGUGGUCUAAUCAUAAGUAUUUGUGUGAAUUUCCCUAUUUUGCUCAUUCGUUUUCCAAUUUAUUCGUCUGAAAGUUUAUAGGAAAAAAGGUAUUCUAACAAGAUCAAACUACCAACCACAGUUUAAUUAUGUUUUGUAGUAGAGUAUUUAUUAAGUUUUAAAGGUACAAAAUAACAAGUAUAAACAUUAAAGACAUUAAGAAAGUUUUUUUCGCGGAACAAGAACAAGAACAAGUCGUCAACGAAGGCAAACAAAGUGAUAGAUACAGAUUAAAUAAACUUAUCUUGUUUAACAAUCAAUGAAGUUGUUAUAAAUAUAUGUUUAAUACGUUAAGAUAAAGAAUUACUUAUCUUUCUCAAGUUUCAUCUGCAUAUAAACGUUCCAGUCAUUCAAAUAUGCACUUGUUGUCUCCAAUCAGUUACUUUCUUCCUUGCAAUUUUAGUCGGUAGGUAGGGUUCAAGAUAUGUUUUAAAUACACUUUUAAUACAAAAAUAUAGCUUAAAACCCUAAAUAAACGACAAUUUUCGAUCCAUUCGUCCGAGAAAAAACAUUCAGUCACUUCGCCAUAAUGGUCUCGCGAGAAUGUCUCGCAACACAAAUGCGCGUGUCUGGAGGUAGAACACACACGGCUGGAGGUAAAAUUUGGCUUCAUCCGAUCAUAAGCCAAUCCUAUUGGAGGUAGCGUUCCAGGUAUUUUUAGUUCACUGGGUAUACCAGAAGCGUAACUCAAGCAAGUAUUUGUCCGCAUUUUUACAAGCGAUUCGUCAUCAAUCACGCCAUCCUGGCUAGUACAACCAGCACUUUGUACCUACCAAAACCAGUGAACUCUCUCUCUAUAUAUAUAUAUAUGGAAUGAUAACAGCGAGUGAAAAGUGAAGCCGACAAAAAAAAUCACGACAUAAGUAUUCGUCAUUGUCUUCGUCAUCAACUGUUCAAGAACAAUCACUUACAUAUAAAAUUUGUAAUUGUUUUGAAAGUUUUUAUCACAGUUUUUAUAUCUUUAUUCACUUUUAACCUGAAGAUGGAGUUUACUCCGAAACGUAGUUAUUAAAAUAAUUUUUCACUAAGCCCAUAUGGUCUAAUUUAUAUUCAAACACGCAUACAUAUUCAUUUACAUUUUGCUGGCAGGCAAAUUCCGAUCACACAAUAAAUUCUUUAAAAAAUAACGUACCAGUGUAUUGACUAAAAACUAUAAAACUGGUAAACUAAAAAACAAUUCAAACAAUUGUGAAAAAUGGCAAAGUCACAGUUGCAAGUCAAUUUACCUACCUGUGAAAUGAAAUUUUCCUCGCAAGAAUAUCUCUUUCCUUGUGCAUCCAGAACGACACAAUAUAUUUGAAAAAGCCUAUUCUUUUCUCCACACGGGGAAGUUUUCCUUGACUUUUUUCCGACAGCGAACUCAAUGCAGUAAAUUUUAGGAGCAAAACAGUUUGCUCCUAAAAUGUAUUGCAUUGAAUUGGCCAUGUUUUUAAUUUUUUUUUCGUGAUUGCGUUCAAAUUUAUACUGGCCGUGCAACGGUUUGCAAGAGGGGGAAUGAAACUGACGUCCAAUCCGCGUAAACCUGACGUUUGAGAGACUGACGUCCAAUCCGCGUGAAAGACUGGUAUCGAGGCUUCAUUGUUUUCACAAUCAAAUGACUGAAUGUUAUCAUUCCAGAUAUAUAUAUAUAUAUAUAGAGAGAGAGAGAGAGUUCACUGACCAAAACCUGAUAAAAACUUCCAGCUGUACUAGCCAGGAUGGCGUGGAUUGGCAUGAGCGAGUUAAAAUUUUCGUGGACGUAAAACAAUAAGGGAAACGACUAGAGUUACCCUUCUGCUCUAUCUUCUUUAUUCUGUGGCCUAGUUUGGUUUUGCUAAUUGUACUGACUACUGUAGUCGGACGGAAUAUUUAAGAUAAGGUAUGGAUAAACAGACCCCAACCCCUUCCCUAACCAAUAAAUGUGUAAUGAACUAUUUGAGAGUUAGAAAGGUCGGGGGGAAAAAUUUACAAAUAUUUUAAGAAACAUUUCUACGGGGCUGUUUAUAUGGAAGCAUGCCGCCAGGGUGGAAAGUUUGUAGUUUGCGCCGAAGAUCUUCGGCGUGGAAAAUUCAUAAAUUUGCUCCAUUUUGGCGCAGAAUUAUGGGAAAACGAACUGGCGUGGUGCACUGGCGUACAAAAAAUAUUUACUUGCGCACACUACAACGUUCUCAACCAUUUAUGUCUGUAUUUCAGUAAUUUAAUAAAGGGAAUUUGAUUGAGCACUGACUGACCGUAUUUCAAAUGUUUAGUAUCUGUUCUGUCUCAUUCUAAAAGUGUUGAUAUUGCAACUCGGCGGCGCAUGUGAACAUGUUUUAAAAAAGGAUUUGUGCAGCCACUGGUGCAUGUUACUGAACCUUGAUCAAAUCUUCGGCGCACAAGAAACAAACUUUCCACCCUGGAAGCAGGGCUGGCCUGCUAAACGAGAUAGCCUGGUAAGCGGGAUGAAUUUUGCUUGCGUUUAUGAGAUUUUAUCCUGCUUGCUGUGCUAGAAAUUGUUUACAUUGCACUCAAUAGGCAAUUCCAGCUUUUAGUUUAUGCCUGCAGGGGAUGAUGGGAAGUAAGGUAUCAUAGUGCUGAUUAUGCUGAAAAAUUUCAAUAAAAACAACCGAAAUAUUUCAAUAUUUACAAGUAUAAGCUAUCACUACGUGUUUACACGGCCACCAUUUUUAUUUUUUCAGCAUAAUCAGCAAUGUGAUACCUUAUUUCCCAUCGUCCCCUGCACGCAUAAACUAAAAGCUGGAAUUGCCUAUUGGCUUUCCCAAUUUCAAAAUUAAUUUUUGCUUCAAAACUCACUAUUUUGUAAACAUUACAGCUAUUGAAGCACAGCUUAGAGACAGGAAGUUUUACCUCGCAGUUUGAUCGUUGAAACACACAACUUACCAAGGGCAAAUUCAUGGGAAAUUUAGGCACUUUCGGUCAAUGGGUUGUUCCAGAAAAGAUCCAUACCCCCAUGCUGUCCGAAGGGGGAGUGAGGAAAAAUGUCUUAGGAUGUCCGAAGGGGGGGGGGGGAGGAAAUGCGGAUAUAAGAUUGUCGGAAGGUUUUAGACAGUGAUAAAGCUAUGUGUAUCGGCUAUAGCCCUUAAAAACUGGAACGUUUAUGUAACAGCAAUAAUUAUACGUCCACGUAACUCGUAAGCAAAAUAGCGGCCCACUUUUGCAUGCAUGGUCACCAAAAACUAACUCGCUGUAACAGUGUAUCCUGCAUGUUGAGAAUGAGUCGAAAAUUUACACACUUUAUUUAUAUAAAAGUAAAGUUUUGCAGUUUUUGUAUGUAUAAGUUUGAAUUAUUCAAGUGUUAAAAAUAAUAGUUAUUAAACUGUUGCUUGAAUUAAGAGACUGCUAUGUGAACUAAACUCAAUAUUUAGAAUAUUUAGUUUCAAUAUAUAGUCAAUAAAAGCUUCCUUGCGAGGUGUGUGCCUAGAAAAUAGAAAUGGCUGUCAUAUUAAGGGCGAGGUUAAGGAAUGCAGUAAUACUAAAAAAUGCAUUAACAUGUAAGUAAACACAGCAACGCUUCUCAAUCAGUCGCAAGUUACAUUGAAUUUCAGUCCGAAUUUUACUUGAUCGAAUUUCAAAGUGAAUUUCUGCAAAUUAUCCACCAAAAUCUGCCAUGUGUUUGUGUUCACAAGAAGCCGCCAAGUGUUCCACCACCACGCCGGAGCUAUUUGACAACAAUGUAGAAAAGUCACAAUAAGCCAUCGCUUUCACACUACGCUGGAGCGAAAUAGUUUGAAAACUUUCACAACACCUUUGCCAAAUACGCUACCAGCCUGAAUUGCUGAAAGCUGUUGCAAAAAACUGUUUUAUAGUACUACUUUACAAAAUGUAAUAAUUGGAUGCUAUAUACUUCAGUUCUUGUAUGAUAGCGCUUAUAAAUAAUUAUAUAUAAUAUAUAAUAUAUAAUUAUAAAUAAUUAUAAGCACUAUCAUACAAGAAAUGUCAAGAAUGAAUUUUCCUUCAAUGGUGGUUUUUUAUCCGUCAAAAGUUUAAUAUAGUUUUGACGAGAGAAAUGUUUCUCAACAAUUUUCAGAAAGUUUUACAAGAUUUUGGGGCUUGUUUUGAAUUGGGCUAUUCCAUUUAAAAGACGUAACCCCCCUAUCAAGGACAAUGGUUUUACCAUAUCUCUGAAGAAUUCCUGACAUAAAAGAGAUCCCCUGAAGAAUUCCUGUUACCCCUGAAGAAUUACAAUUUUUACAUCUGACCCCUAAAGGAAUUGCAUUUGAAAUAACCAACCCCUGAAGAAUUCCACAGGAGAAUUUGUUUACCCAUGAGGAAUUCCGGAGUUAAAAAGGGAGAUUAUGGAUAUUAAAUGGAAUAGCCAAUUUUCUGGAAAAUUUAGCCCAAUUUUCUUGAAAAUUUCCUGGUUGUUUUCCCUGCAGCUUGUUUAUAAACAUGCUUGUUUAUCUAUAGCAUCAUUUGUAGAAAAGGUGUUGAAAGCAUUUUUUGAAAGCAAUGACGUAUUAUCAAAUGACAAAUGAUCAUGCGAGCGACACUUGCUAGGAAGAUGGCGACUGUGGGACAACUAUAUAAUAGUUUUGUUUGUGGAAACACCACAUAAAUUUAUUACUGCAAAGCUUUCAAUCCGUAAGCCCGGAUCUUCAUCAGUGCUAAUAUGUGACUUGUUUAAUUCACACGCCCUUUUUAUAUACAAAAAAUGUCUUGAUCUGUUGGCUCACAUAUUAUUAGCACUGAUGAAGAUCCGGGCUUACAGAUCGAAAGCUUGGCAGUAAUAAAUUUACGUGGUGUUUCCACAAACAAAACUAUUAUAUGUUUUAUCGCCAUGCAAACAUACAAAGAAAUUAUUGUGGGACAACUUUUUUACUGAAGUUAUACAUCUGUCUUCACUUAAUCUGUGGCUCAGCUGGCUAGACCUUGAUUCUUGCCUGUGGUCCCCCUUUGCAUUUGACCCAAAUGUUUUGGUCAUUUUAUAUUUGCCAAUAUAAAUCUUUUUGGCAUAGAAAUUAUACAUUUGGAAUAAUAAUUUUGUAUGCUGCAUUCAAUCUAUUCUCCAUUCAGGGAGAUUCUUUUGUAAAUACCCACACCAAUCAGAAGUCUGUAUUUUUAUGCUAAAACAGAAAUUGGCAUCCCAGAGAGUAAAUUAUGUUCAAGUUUAGGGCAUGUUGCAGCUCUAUAUCUUGCCGUUGCAAGUUGCUUUGCGUUUGAUGUUUGUUCUGGGAUAAAAUAUUGAAUUAUACCUUAAAUUAAUGUUUUGUGAAAUUUAGUUUAAAUAAUUUAAUAGAGAGAUGAGUGCAUAAAGCAUAGGGAUUUUGAAGCUAAAUAUGUUAUAAAAUUUGUCAUUUUAGUGAAUGCAUUCGUUUCUGCUCGUCCUGGUUGUUGCAAGGAGACAUCAGGCAUUGUAAUGGAUGGAUGACAAUGUGUCGCUGGCAAACCUACACCGUGUGCAUUUUCUUGGUGGAUAUCUUGGGCAAAUGUGCAAUAUGACGAGGGAUAUCUUGGGCAAAUAUCUUAUAUAAAUUGGUACGAUUGCUUACCUUAAAUUACUAAAGAAGGAUGAUGUUGUAAGGUUAGUGGAUAUUUAUAAUAGUGAUAAAAUGGGGGUUCCCUAUGAAUAGGAACAAAGUAAGGCUGCCUAAUUAAAUUAAGUGGAAACAAUAUUGCGCAGUGUAACAAUCUAAAAAUAUGGCAGACUGAAAUCUGUAAAAAUGAUGCAUGUUUAAUUUAAAACAUGCAAAAAUUGCGGCAUAAAUAUAUCACGAAACAUGCUUCUUGCAACUACAUGCUAUGUUUAUAGGAAUUUGAAUAAGUUUUUAGUAGGCAUGAUUUAGGAUUUUUGUUUUAUUUUCAUUUAUGAUUUUCUAUAAAUGCCCCAACUAGUUUAUAUCUAAUACGUAAUGUAUAAUAUAUAGAUUGUAAAUUUUUUGAUCUAGAAAAUAAUAGAGUUCUUAUACAACUACAUGCUGUGUUGGGUUGUUAGGGUUGAAUAAGUUUUUAGUAGGCAUGAUUUAGGAUUGUUUUUAUUUAUGAUUUUCUAUAGACUGCCCCCCCCCCCCCUCGUGGUGGAAGGAUAACAGCCUGUGGCCAUUUGUCACUAAUGCUGCACAGUGACGUAGUCGUAUAAAUAGAUAUUUAACAGUCUGUGGCCAUUUGUCACUAAUGCUGCACAGUGAUGUAGUUGUAUAAAUAGAUAUAAUAUUGUGCACUUCAGUGGCUUUCUAAUUUUAUUAUCCAAUCAGGUGUGUUACUUUAAAUAGAACUUAUUGUAUGUAAACAAGGUCAAUAGACAACGUUUGGGACAACAUUGCUUUCUUUAACAUAUAGCAUAAUUUGUCUUCGUCAUUCUGUGCACAAUGAAGUACUGGGUCAUUCCAGAAAACAUCCAUACCCCCCCCCACGGAGGAAAUAGGAAGUUAACCCCCUACCCCCUUUGGAUGCCCUAAUACAUUAAGCAAUUAUUGGAUGAGGCUGAGCAUGAUAUCAAGAAUUAUUCAGACCGAGGUCAAUGUUAUCUGCCGAAGCGAAGCUGAGGCGGAUAACAUAGACCGAGGUCUGAAUAAUUCUUGAUAUCAUGCGAAAACCGAAUCCAAUAAUUGUUUUAUACAUUGAAAGACAUGAGAAACGUAUAAAACGAUUCCUGUUCAUGAGGUAGGAAAAGUACAAUUUGAAUAUCAAACACAUUGCACAAAGUCAAAAGUCAGUUAAAUAUUCUAUUUCUACUUCUAUUUACCCCUUUGUGGCUUUUUUCGUGCUUUCACUAUCCUUAUCUGCCAAUAAUUUAGAGAUUUCCUCUGUGGGGGGGAGUAUGGAUCUAUUCUGGAACGACCCAUUCAAGGCAAAGAAAAUAUGCAAGCAUUAAAUAUUUCCUGCAUUAUUUCUCAAUCCUUGCUCAAUGACAAAAACAUACUUAAAUUAAAUUUGUAAUAUAGGAAAAAUAGAUUUUCUGUAAUAUAUAUUUAUCUGAAACAACCUCAUGCUAUGUUGAUAGGAAUUUGAAGUUUUUAGUAGGCAUGAUUUAGGAUUUUUGUUUCUAUUCAUGAUUUUCUAUAAAUGGGUGCCCACCUAAUUUUUGAGAUAUGAUAUGAAUUUAUGAUAUCUUUAUCACAUAAAAGAGUGGCAGUGUCAUCAGAAUAGUAUAAAAACCAAUUACUGUGGGCUCAAUUUUACAAAUACUGUAUAAAUAUACAAUAACAUAACUUAAUUUAUGAGAAUAAAUACAACUAUCAGGAACAACAAGAGAGUGGAGUAGCAAGACUACAAGCAGUGUUACAUUUCAAACAGAUUCUUAGAUUAUAUUGAUAGCAGUAAUGUACCAUCUGUAUAACAUACAGUUGUAAAAUUUGUAACGUCUCUCUGGAGCAGGGGGUGAGCGGAGGUGAGACACUGGGAACGAGGAUGGGCUCAUAUUCGUUCUUAAGAGUUUUUUGUAGGGCAUAUAGACGGGGGGACUCAUAUAUGGGGGGGGGGGUAUUCAAAUGUUACAUAUCAAAAUCUAAGUUAGUCCUUUAUGAAUGCAAUAAAACAUUCAAGUAUAGUAGCUUUUGUAGUUUUUGUUACAUUUAAUCAAACAGCACAAGUUGUUUUUUUUUUGGGGGGGCACAGUCUUUCUUUAGGUUGUAAAGCGAUGAUUGGGCUAAGAAAAUUUCAAUACGUCAUUGCUGUUGAAAUGACUUAAUUCAUCACUAAUAAUAUGAAAGCUUAUGUUGCUCAUAAUAUCCCAUCCAGCGUCUAUUUUUGAGAAAAUUGUUGCACAAACCAUGUUCCAAUGUUUGCGAUGUGACCAUUGCAUAUGGCUGUCAAAAACGUCCAGAUUAGUUAGAUUAUUGUUUUCUAAAACAUUGCGCGGCUCGUGAUUUUAGAACUCUUUUUAUGCUUUAACCCAUUGAGUGGCUCCACUUGACAAGUAAAAUCCUGUGGCGUUAGACAGUAAAAUACUAAAGUAGGGUGCAUCUGGGUGCAAUGCAACUUAAAGGUUAAAUUAACCAAAAAAGUUCAUACAUUUGUUUGAAAAAAGAUUUUAACACAGUACCAUGCCUGUUUGUAUAUAUAUAUAUAUGUAUAUGUAUGUGUAUGUGUAUGUGUAUGUGUAUGUGUAUGUGUAUGUGUAUAUGUAUGUGUAUAUAUAUAUGUAUGUGUAUGUGUAUGUAUAUAUAUAUAUAUAUAUAUAUUGCAUGCACGGCUUACGGGAAGAACAAGGAUGUAAAUAUGUUUUCUCUUUGAUGUAAUUACCGUGUUGAAAUAAAAUUUUUAAUAAUAAUAAUAAUAUAUAUAUAUAUAUAUAUAUAUAAUAUAUAUAUAUAUAUAUAUAUAUAUAUAUAUAUAUAUAUAUAUAUAUAUAUAUAUAUAUAUAUAUAUAUAUAUAUAUAUAUAUAUAUAUAUAUAUAUAUAUAUAUAUAUAUAGGAACAUAACCCCGGGGGGGGGAUAAAACCCUAGUAGGGAACCACCUCCAGACCAAUUUACACUCACCUGCGACAAAAUAGGGAGGUUGUGUGCUUGAUUUGCACAGUGCAACUCAAGUUGUAAGCAUCUUGCAUGGGACCAUCUGAUGCACAAGACUUUCCUCUUGAUGAGUAAAAUGAUCUGAUAUCAGACAUUUGAGUUCCUUUGCAGCUUAAGGAGUUAAUCCUAUUUAUCUUAGAGAACAGCAAUUCAACUAUCUGGCUGGCUUGACAAAUAACUAUACACCAACAAUGUGUGCAAAGGCAAUUAAGUGUAUCCUUGGAAAAUUUUAUCUGACAUUAUGCAGAGUUGUUUACAACUUUUUUGUUCAAGCCUAGUGACUUAUUUCAGUGCAUGAAAAUCAUCCCACCUUUCAUCCUGUCCUGACAAACUGGGAUCAUGUAAACAGCACAUUUAGCCAUUAUGUUGAUUUGCACUCUAAUUUUCCUACUUAUAUUAUUUAACUCUGUCUAACGUCAUACAAUUUUAUUAAGCAGGUACACUGGCAGUUAAUUAAUGGGUAACUAGACACAUGGGCAGUCACAUUAUGAAGCAUAAAAUCGUCUAGCGUUGGACAGUAAAAUACUCGAGUAGAGCAUGCAUCAGGGCACAGUACAACCUGAUGGUUAAAUUUGUUUUUUGUAGCAAAAUGGUUUAAGUUUUAUAUCUGAAUUUUUAAUUUUUUUUUUUUGCUUUGUUUUACAGAUCAUUACUUGAACGUGCUGAUGAAAUAUUUAUAAAAUAUCAUGUUACCAAGAUGACAUGCCUCGAAGAGCAAUACAUGAGGGAAUACCUCUAUUUCUAAUCAAAUUACAACAAUACACCAAAGACAGUAGUUCUCGGAUGAAAUGAAAGGAUUGAUAAAUGUUCAUGGCCAGCAGUGGAUAUUUGUGACUAUAAUAAAUGGAUACAAAGAAACUAUGAUGGAUAAAUAUGGCCCCGUAAUGGAUAUUCAGUUGAUGGACAUACAAAGGUCACAGAAAUGUCUAUUUUCAGGUACUGUUCUUUCUUGUUUGCCUGCGAACAGGCUGUAGAUACUUAUAUCCAGGCCAUUGUUUGUUUUUUUUUGUUCUGGGUACAAUGAAAUCCGGCAUAAAUCCUGGCGGUCUAAAUGUUCAGUAUAUUUACAAAUUCGAUCUAUUUUCUGUUCAGUAGACUUCGAUAGCUUGAAAGAAAGUUUAUAACGAUGAUUUUCUCUGCAAAAACUGUACUUUCGAAAUUCGUCAGCUUCUGAAUUUGAUAACCGAU